GCCUGGCUGGCUCAUUCAGUAGAGCAUGUGACUCUUGAUCUCAGAGUCAUGAGUUGAAGUCCCAUAUUGGGCA
rnacentral:tRNA from 1 species